rnacentral:rRNA from 1 species
AUUGAACGCUGGCGGCAUGCUUUACACAUGCAAGUCGAACGGUAACAGGCCGCAAGGUGCUGACGAGUGGCGAACGGGUGAGUAAUGCAUCGGAACGUGCCCAGUCGUGGGGGAUAACGCAGCGAAAGCUGCGCUAAUACCGCAUACGAUCUAUGGAUGAAAGCGGGGGACCGUAAGGCCUCGCGCGAUUGGAGCGGCCGAUGUCAGAUUAGGUAGUUGGUGGGGUAAAGGCUCACCAAGCCAACGAUCUGUAGCUGGUCUGAGAGGACGACCAGCCACACUGGGACUGAGACACGGCCCAGACUCCUACGGGAGGCAGCAGUGGGGAAUUUUGGACAAUGGGCGCAAGCCUGAUCCAGCAAUGCCGCGUGCAGGAAGAAGGCCUUCGGGUUGUAAACUGCUUUUGUACGGAACGAAACGGUCCUGGUUAAUACCCGGGGCUAAUGGCGGUACCGUAAGAAUAAGCACCGGCUAACUACGUGCCAGCCGCCGCAGUAACAC